rnacentral:rRNA from 1 species
GAUGAACGCUGGCGGCGUGCCUAAUACAUGCAAGUCGAGCGAACGGACGAGAAGCUUGCUUCUCUGAUGUUAGCGGCGGACGGGUGAGUAACACGUGGAUAACCUACCUAUAAGACUGGGAUAACUUCGGGAAACCGGAGCUAAUACCGGAUAAUAUUUUGAACCGCAUGGUUCAAAAGUGAAAGACGGUCUUGCUGUCACUUAUAGAUGGAUCCGCGCUGCAUUAGCUAGUUGGUAAGGUAACGGCUUACCAAGGCAACGAUGCAUAGCCGACCUGAGAGGGUGAUCGGCCACACUGGAACUGAGACACGGUCCAGACUCCUACGGGAGGCAGCAGUAGGGAAUCUUCCGCAAUGGGCGAAAGCCUGACGGAGCAACGCCGCGUGAGUGAUGAAGGUCUUCGGAUCGUAAAACUCUGUUAUUAGGGGAGAACAUAUGUGUAAGUAACUGUGCACAUCUUGACGGUACCUAAUCAGAAAGCCACGGCUAACUACGUG